AGAAAAGUUGCUAAGCUAGGUUAAAGCGUCAGAUUGUAAAUCUGUUUGAAUUUUUUCUAUCGUUGGUUCAAAUCCAACCUUUUCUA
rnacentral:tRNA from 1 species